AUAGCUAUUUCUUGGUGUUACAUACAGCUACUGGCAGCUGCACAGUGGUUUGCUGUUGUUUGUCAGAGCACUAAUUAACUUGGAUUAGAAGAAAUCUCAUUCUGAAUGACUGCCCUGUCUGCUUGGUCCUGCCCCUGAAGGCUCCAGUUCGUUUGCAGCACCAGGGCCUUGUGGCUCCAGCUCAUGUGCAGCUUCAGGUCCAGCUCAUGGAUGGUGCCAGCUGGUUUGUGAGUCUGUUUGGUUGCAGCUGCAGCUCAUGGGCAACUCUGGCUGGAGCUCGUUUGCACCUUCAGGCCCAGCUGGUUCCUGCUUCCAGUGUGUUUUGGGCUCCUGUCAGUUACAG